rnacentral:rRNA from 1 species
UCGGGGUCCGAGUUGUAAUUUGCAGAGGAUGCUUCGGGAGCGGUCCCCAUCUAAGUGCCCUGGAACGGGCCGUCAUAGAGGGUGAGAAUCCCGUCUGGGAUGGGCGGCCGCGCCCGUGUGAAGCUCCUUCGACGAGUCGAGUUGUUUGGGAAUGCAGCUCUAAGCGGGUGGUAAAUUUCAUCUAAAGCUAAAUACUGGCCGGAGACCGAUAGCGCACAAGUAGAGUGAUCGAAAGAUGAAAAGCACUUUGAAAAGAGAGUUAAACAGCACGUGAAAUUGUUGAAAGGGAAGCGUUGUCCACCAGACUCGCCCGGGGGGGUUCAGCCGGCACGUGUGCCGGUGUACUCCUCUCCGGGCGGGCCAGCAUCGGUUUGGGCGGCUGGUGAAAGGCCCCGGGAAUGUACCACCCUCCGGGGUGUCUUAUAGCCCGGGGUGCCAUACAGCCAGCCUGGACCGAGGCCCGCGCUUCGGCGAGGAUGCUGGCGUAAUGGUGGUCAACGGCCCGUCUUGAAACACGGACCAAGGAGUCUAACAUCUAUGCGAGUGUUCGGGUGUCAAACCCGUCCGCGCAGUGAAAGCGAACGGAGGUGGGAGCCCCUCGGGGCGCACCAUCGACCGAUCCUGAUGUCUUCGGAUGGAUUUGAGUAAGAGCAUAGCUGUUGGGACCCGAAAGAUGGUGAACUAUGCCUGAAUAGGGCGAAGCCAGAGGAAACUCUGGUGGAGGCUCGCAGCGGUUCUGACGUGCAAAUCGAUCGUCAAAUUUGGGUAUAGGGGCGAAAGACUAAUCGAACCAUCUGGUAGCUGGUUCCUGCCGAAGUUUCCCUCAGGAUAGCAGUAACGACAUCAGUUUUAUGAGGUAAAGCGAAUGAUUAGAGGCCUUGGGGUUGAAACAACCUUAACCUAUUCUCAAACUUUAAAUAUGUAAGAAGCCCUUGUUGCUUAGUUGAACGUGGGCGUUAGAAUGAAACGUUACUAGUGGGCCAUUUUUGGUAAGCAGAACUGGCGAUGCGGGAUGAACCGAACGCGAGGUUAAGGUGCCGGAAUGCACGCUCAUCAGACACCACAAAAGGUGUUAGUUCAUCUAGACAGCCCGACGGUGGCCAUGGAAGUCGGAAUCCGCUAAGGAGUGUGUAACAACUCACGGGCCGAAUGAACUAGCCCUGAAAAUGGAUGGCGCUCAAGCGUGCUACCCAUACCUCGCCGU